rfam:Picea glauca, whole genome shotgun sequence.
AUGUAAUUUAAUGCCUACAUUGUUAAUGCAUUAGAUAUUUUUAGAGAUCUGCAGCUAAGCGCGCUUUGGCUAGAUCAGUAUUGGGAUGGGUGACCUCCCUGGAAGUCCUAGCAUUUUACAUG